UACGAGGGGGGCGAGCGUUGUUCGGAAUUAUUGGGCGUAAAGGGUGCGUAGGCGGUUCGGUAAGUUUCGUGUGAAAUCUUCGGGCUCAACUCAGAGACGACACUUGAUACUGUCGUGACUUGAAUCUGGUAGGGGAGUGUGGAAUUCCCGGUGUAGCGGUGAAAUGCGCAGAUAUCGGGAGGAACACCAGUGGCGAAGGCGGCACUCUGGGCCAGUAUUGACGCUGAGGAGCGAAAGCGUGGGGAGCGAACAGG
rnacentral:rRNA from 1 species